rnacentral:rRNA from 1 species
UACGUAGGUGGCAAGCGUUACUCGGAAUCACUAGGCGUAAAGCGCAGGUAGGCUGUUUGGUAAGUCUGUUGUGAAAGCUCCUGGCUCAACUGGGAGAGGUCAACGGAAACUACCAAGCUAGAGUGUGGUAGAGGAAGCUGGAAUUCCCGGUGUAGCGGUGAAAUGCGUAGAUAUUGGGAGGAACACCUAUGGCGAAAGCAGGCUUCUGGACCAUCACUGACGCUGAUCUGCGAAAGCUAGGGGAGCAAACAGG